UUAUUUGUUUGGGGCUUUACUAUCCACUUGUUAAACUUUCUAAGAAAUUAAUGCUCGAUAGUAGUUGAAAUGUGCUAUCAUUUUCCAGAUGAGACUUUGACAUAGUGUCACACCGGAUUAUUUUUGUCUUGUAAAUGUCUUCAGCAUCUCCCAAUGGCCCAAAGCCCUUACUUUCUUAUCUUCUAGCUAUAGUUUUGAGGGUUAGGCUCUCUAUAAACCCCACAAUGGGUUUCCCCGGUGUGGAGCAGAAGGUGUGGAUGUUGGCAUGUGAGAUGGGAAAAAAAAUGCGAUGUUCAAAGUGAGAAAGGGCCUUUCCAUACUCCCCAGAGAGGGGCCCAUAUGGCAUCGUUUUCGGGUCCCAUCAAAACUUUAAGGCAUACCUUCACCUUGUGCAGAGUCCUUGAUGUCCUACCAAGGAAGACGUCCUCACAUCUUGCAGCAGGAACCCAUUGAUACGGCGCCCACCUUGACUUCCGAAUGGGACAGCGCAUCCUCAGAAGCAACGGUGAUGGCGGUGAUGGCGCCUGCAUCACACAUCGAAGACGCUUGUGCUGAUAGCUCAAGCCCUUGAAAACCCAGCCAAGGUCAGUGUCGUAUCCUCCAGGAAUCCUGGCCGGCAAGAUGUGCUGGAAGUUGCUGCCGCCACCAGAGCCACCUCUGUUGCCGGCCGCCCCAUCCUUGGACCUUCGCCAAGCCAGCCCAGCCAGUCCUCCGAGGGCCGCGACUCCCGCCGUCACUAGUCCCGCUGCUGACCAGCAGCGGCCCCGCACAGGUGCGGUCACCUGUGUCACACGGAUGCUCCUCGGGGCCACGUGGACAUUUCCAGCCCAGGCCGCAGGGGGGCGCUGGCCCAGAGCCUCUGCGCAUGUGCAGCCCCUCCCGAGGCCCACUCGGGGAGGAGGCCGCGCGGGUCUCUGCUGCAGAGAUCCUGAAGGGAUGGAACAGGAAGAGCAGGCUGCUGCCGCGGGCCACGACGGAGAAGGAAUUUCAGGGGAGAAGAAAUUAAGGGAGUCUUGUUCUGAGAGCACCAUUCAGACCUUCUUUCAGGUCACAUUGGAGGUGGACAUCUGA
rnacentral:lncRNA from 1 species